UCCCACGACAUCACUCAUUCUUGUUAUAUAUCAAAACUCUGCACAUCAUGUUGGAUUUCUGUUGGAUUUGAUGGGUUUUGAAAACUUUAUACAAGGUCAGAAUUUCGGAGAUUUUUACGUACAUGAUCCAACAGUAAUUAAACUUCCAAACCGAUGACAUUGGAUGUACAUGCUGAUCUAAUAAAUGCAGAUAAUAUGUGAAACUAGUUGUACUAAGAAAGGUUAUUCUUCAAGAUGUCUAUUGUUCGAGAACAUUUCCUUGCUUAGAAGAAAUCUUCCAAGAAGUAAACCGACCA